UUAUGUACUCAAUAAUCACAUUAUUUCCCAAAAUUGAGCCCUGUUUUUAAUGCAGAUUGACAUUAUUUACUAAUAAAACUAACAUAAUUUUAGAAUAAAGAUGUUGGCGACGAUUUUGAUAGUACCUAAAAAAUGGUCGGCGCGUUUUGUUACCAAGGAAACAGACAAUAUUUUUUGUAUUGCUGACGGCGAAAAAAUAGAGCUACUGAAAAAACGGGGAAAACUGAGGAAAUUGAAGCACAUUAAAGAUGCUUAUCAAAACUAAUCACAGAGCUCGGAUUAUAACUAAUCGGAUGCACGGGGAAUUAAUCUAUUGCUUGCCACCAACAAAAUCGUUCGGCAGCAGGCCACAUCAGAAUUAAGGCACCCCUCUGCCGACGUACAUUCAUCUCGUAUUGAAUGACCUUUGAGGAUCGAUAGCUGUCGGACGAACUCGUCUACGCUGGCCCUGGUACUCUGUAUAGACCAUUAACCCUCCGUGUUACAGCUUCCUCUAUGUACCGCAGUACACGGCGAAUCUAUUUCCAUUUACAGCAAACUUGUGGAAGUUUCGGCUAAUCCCAGAGCACCAUCAAUUAAAGUAUUCAACGCUUUCGACUGAGGCGGACCUGUUUCGUUUAUAAUAUGCGUGAAUAAUGAACAAAAAUAUUAGAUAAUAGAAAUCCAAACCAUGAAAAUAAAUAAAUAAAACUAAAACAGAAUUAUUAAUUUGAAAUAUAUGUAAUGUUUUAUUUUGACA